ACGCUAGAAUCGAUGUGAGACCAGGAACAGUCAAGUUUUCUAAUGACAUUUCACAGUCUAUAAAAAAACACAAUGUCACUGUUAACACAAAGAAAUGGUUUGAUGGUGAAAUGGUCACCUGCACCACCAGUGACACAAAUAAUAACAGAGACAUCAAGCAGACGAUCCGUUUUCAUAAAGGAGAUUAAAAGAAACCCAAGUGUUACCAUUUACAAACCUGAUAGUAUGGACAAAGAUCAUGUUUCUCAUGUGUGUGAGGUCACCAGUCCUAAACUCAGCGAUGUCUAUAUCAUGUGGAGAGUGGGUAAAGAGUCUUACAGAGAGGGCACAAACAGUGCUCCCAUCCAUCAAAAGCACUCCACGUCUGUUCUCAGCAUCCUAACAAUGACAAAAGAAGAGUAUAAUAAGCUCAGCACCACCAUCAGCUGUGCAGUCAAACAUGCCAGCAUGGACAAUAUAAGUGCUCCAUUACAAGCUUCAACAAGCCAAAGUAAACAGCCAGAACUUUCAUGUGAUUAAUGUGCAAGCAUUCCCAAACUAUCAUUGUUCAUCUGUUGUUCGGUGUUCCAGUGCUUUUGUCCUGUUGCUCUCUCGUCAGAUUAUGUAAAGUAUACCUUCAAUGUUGUUUUUUGUGCAUAUUUCUGUCUCUAUGUCUGUAUCACUUUACUGCAUGGGUCAAACAUCAAAGUCAAAUUACACUCAAGACUAUAUGUUUAAUUUGAUAUUUACUUACAUGUUGCAUGUAAGCAAAUAUGGUCACAUGAAAACAUUGUCAGAACAAUAUCAUAGAGCUUCUUUAUGUUUUGUUCCAUGCUUACUGUACUGCUGUUAGCCUAUAAUAUAACAUGCCAUUUUUGUGUUGUUUUACAAGCAAUAAAUAUUUGUUUGCAUGA